rnacentral:lncRNA from 1 species
GCUCAUCGUGCCACAACUAACUUAGGUAGACUUAAUGUAAAUAAAAGUUAAAUGAUGAAUAUUUAUACAUGUUCUUUCUGGCCAUGUUAAAGCAUGUUAAAUAUUGUUAAUGUUUUCAAAUAUAUAAACAAAACUGCAGAAGGAGUGACAUACCAUACUAAUGAAUGAUGCUCAUUUGCCAAAUAAUGUUCAGACACAUCUUAUACCAUUUGUCCAAGAUGCAAACUGCUGGCUGGAGCCUGCCUCAUCCUCAGCGCCUCUUGGGAAUGGAGAAGGUCUGCACAUCGACUCCCUUGAGAUAAGACUGAAGUUCUCACUUUGGCCUGCUCAAGUCUCUCCAGAUCCCAGAGAAGGGCCUAGGACAAAGCCCCUCCGGUGGAAGAGGUGUGCUGAAGCAGGUUCUGUCUGCCCUCUCUCAGCCCAGCUAGGGUCAGAGCUCUUACUCCACUGUAAAGAAUCAGCCUGUCCAGAACACAGUUAGGCUGGUUGGUGUGGUUUAUAGAGCAGAGCCCAAGACAGCACGGGAGAUAGCUCCUCCCUAUAGAAAAUAGACCUUGGAGCAAGUCCCCAACCUCUGCAUGGACUUUUCCUGGAAAACAGAAGAACAAAUUACAAACCAAAGCAACUAGGAGGAAGGAGAGAGUGCGUACCUGCAGCGGUUCUUCCACAAAAUCUCAUUGUUGAGGCGACAGUGCUGCCUAGAGCUGAGUUUCUAUCACAGAGCAGGAAGCCCAAACCCAACCCCUCAACUCUGAGCUGCAAGUGAAGGAGGAAAGUGGACUCUGGUCCAACCAGGAUGUACCAGGGCUCAGAACACCUCGCACCUCCAAGGCAGCACCUGCUCCAGGCUACAGAACGUGGCCAUGCAGUGUACUCCAACUGCCCUGAGCCCAUCAAAAAUCAAGGCCACUGUUCCACAGGAUGGAGCAUGGUUUUGGUUCUCUGCAUUUUCUGAUGCUUUGCUGACCCCAGAGAGACUCCCUCUCCAGGUCUAGCCGAUUGCCAGAGACAGUAAAGGUCCCAAUGCAAGUGCUCCUUCCAUCCUCUAACUAAACAAUCCCGGUCCCUGCAGUUGGCCCACCAUAUCCCUGGGCUCACAUCCAUAGACUCAACCAACUGCAGAUCCAAAUUUUUUGGGAAAAAAAAAAAAGGAUGAUGUUUGUACUUAACACUUGUACUGG